UCCUCCGUGGCGCAAUUGGCUAGCGCGUUCGACUGUUACAACAUGGCAGAUCAUCGAGAGGUUGACAGUUCAAGCCUGUCCGGGGGAG
rnacentral:tRNA from 1 species